rnacentral:rRNA from 1 species
GCCGCCGCGGUAAUCGUAGGGAGCGAGCGUUGUUCGGAAUCACUGGGCGUAAAGGGAGUGCAGGCGGAAAGGUAAGUCAGAAGUGUAAUCUACGGGCUUAACCCGUAUCUCGCUUUUGAUACUGCUUUUCUUGAGUAGUGGAGAGGGAAACGGAAUUCCAGGUGUAGCGGUGGAAUGCGUAGAUAUCUGGAAGAACACCAGUAGCGAAGGCGGUUUCCUGGCCACAUACUGACGCUGAGGCUCGAAAGCGUGGGGAGCAAACAGGAUUAGAUACCUUGGUAGUCCACGCCGUAAACGAUGGGCACUAGAUAUCGGGGAAUUCGAUUUCUUCGGUGUCGCAGUUAACGCGAUAAGUGCCCCGCCUGGGGAGUACGCCCGCAAGGGUGAAACUCAAAGGAAUUGACGGGGGCCCGCACAAGCGGUGGAGCAUGCGCUUUAAUUCGAUGCAACGCGAAGAACCUUACCUGGGUUUGACAUGGGAGUGAAAGUUCCUAGAGAUAGGAACCUUUCCUUCGGGAACACUCCACACAGGUGCUGCAUGGUUGUCGUCAGCUCGUGUCGUGAGAUGUUGGGUUAAGUCCCGCAACGAGCGCAACCCUCGCCCUUAGUUGCCAUCAGGUAAUGCUGGGAACUCUAGGGGGACCGCCUGGAACAACCAGGAGGAAGGUGGGGAUGAUGUCAAAUCAUCAUGGCUCUUACGUCCAGGGCUAGACGCGUGCUACAAUGGUCGGUACAGAAGGAUGCCAAGUCGUGAGACCGAGCUAAUCCAUGAAAACCGGCCUCAGUUCGGAUUGGAGUCUGCAAUUCGACUCCAUGAAGGUGGAAUCGUCUAGUAAUACGCGGAUCAGCAUGCCGCGGUGAAUA